GAUACGCAAUGUCAUCUUAAUUAGCCUUUCUCUGAUGACAUGUUGUAUGGCCAUUUAUACUUCAUCCUUUAAAAGCUGCCUGCUCAUUUUAUUAGUGCAGUUAUUGAUUGGAUUAAUCAGAGUUUUUACUUAGUUUUUAAGGCUCUUUAUACAUUCUAGACAGUAAUUCCCUAUCAGAAGGUAGAGCGAGCAAAAACUUUCUCAAAUUUGCAAGGUUUGUCCUCCCCUCAAAGAAUUACUGCCUUUUCAGUCCAGUAAGUCUUCAUUUCAUGCGAAGCAUUUACCAAUUCUUAUUAUCAUUUUAUGAGAUUUUUUUUGAGUCCUUUUCAGAACAUCCUGGCCUAUGCCUGCAUCUUGAAAUAUUUUAUUUGUUUUCCUCCAACAGUUUCGGCAUUUCAGUCUUAUAGUAAGGCCUUUAGUUCUUUUUAAAUUGACUUUUAUAACAUAAGAAAUAAGGGUCUCAUUUCACUCUUCUGCAUGUAGAAAAUUCAGUUUUCUCAGCACUGUUUAUAGGAGACGAUGUCUUUUCUACAAUGUCUGUUUUUUGUUUUUUAUCGUAUCUGCAGGAUGCUGUGUUCUGUCCUAUUGGUCUACACUUCUGCUUUUGUCCCAUUGCCAUGCUGGUUUUGCUACUGUAGCUCUGUAGUAUAGUUUGAGAUUAGAUGUUACAAUACCUCAGCUAUUAUUCUAUUGUCUUUUUGCUUAAGAAUGCUUUAGAUACUAGUGGUCUUUUCUGCUGUUUUGAAUUUUAGAUUUUUUCCUAUGUUUGUGAAUAAAGUUAGAAUUUUGAUGGGUAUUGUGUUGAAUCUGUAGGUCACCUUUAGUUAGAAACAUAAGCAUUUUCAUAUUAACCGUGCUAACCCAAGGCCCAGGGGUGGAGGUUUCAACCAUUAACGUAAAUUAUUUUCUUUGGAGUAUUAAUGUUUUCCCUGUAGGUCAAGGAAGAUGGCUCAGAAGGCAAAACUCCCUGACAACUCACAUUUGAUCCUGGAUGCCAGUAAAAAGCUGGUUUUGGUAUCCCAGCACUCCUACAGGAAGGUCAUCUCAAAUUGGUCACCUCAAACUCCAACCUAUUCAUGAGCAAACCAGAAAGCAGAAUUCCUCCAUCUCUUCAGUUCCUGCCUUGAGCUUCAACCAUGGCUUUGCUGGAUGAUGUACUAUUAAAGUGUAACCCCUUUCCUCACCAAGUUGCAUUUGGUCAUGGUGCUUAUCCCAGAAAUAAUAACCAAACUAGAACAAUGGGGAUCUCAGAGUAGGGAAAAAGAGAUGGAGAAAUAAAUGCUUCCAUGGAGUAGAUGGGAUUUGUCAAACAGUUGUGAGGUUGGAAUAGGUCAACACUGAGGAGGAGAAAACUCUAAUCAAGAGGACUCUUGGCUCUUAGCAUCACAGGGGGCACAUAGUCAACACCAACUACCCAUGUCCAAACCCAUUCAUGAAUGUUUGCUGGGCAUACUUGAAGAAUCGUGGUGUUUACAUUUGUCUAUGCUUAUUUGAUUAGUGUAUGUCUCUCUCCACCUCUGACUAACACCACAUAAGAACUGCGUACUCUUUGUAUCCAUGUAUCUAGACUAUUAUCUAGCAUUUAAUAAGGACACAAUAAAUGUUUUAGUUUGAGUGAAUGAAGGAUGAAAAUAAAGAAUGCUAGUGUAAGAGAGAGUGUAAAGUAGUUGAGAAUAAGUAAUUAGGUUAUUCUACUCACUCUGCUAUUGCUUAAGGGGACAGGAUCUCAGGUAUCCCAGAAUAAUUAUGACUCUAUGUAUCCAGGGAAGACCUUAAAUUCUUGUCCCUCCUGGUUUCAUCUUCCACAAGCAAGUGCCACCAUGCCUUGUAUUAUCUAUGCAUUCUUAGUUAUUGGAAACACUAGUAUACAGUUUACAAUAACAGUAUUUACAUUUUUCUUAACUAGUCAUUUUACAUUUAACAGUAUUUUACAGUCCUCCACUAAAUAAUCUUUGUAGACAUUGUAAGCCAAAAUGCAACAAAACAGACAACAUAAGAAAGACCUUUGAAAUAGAUUUAAAAAAAAAAAAAACAUUGUACUACUUGGAGUUCACCAACAUAGGAUUCAAUAGACAGCCACAGCACUGGGUCCUGGCAGGAACAAUGGCACACAUGGUGUCUAAACAUGGACUAUUUCGGGCUUGAACAAGCCAAGUGUUUUGUAAUAGACAGCAGUCAUCCAAUAUGGGUGCUCCAAACUAGCACCCCUAGAUUCUGCUCCAAGCAGGGGCAGGAAGAACCAUCUUGAUGAUUUUUCUUUUGUCUUUUCUGCAGCCCACUUAAAUAUUCCCAGUUACAGAGCACUCAAAAUAUAAAAGCUGAUUCUACUCCAAGUUUUUUAUUGAAGCACUUAAUUAGCUGAUUAUAUGCAGUGUCUUAGAAUGGGCUAAUUUGAAAAGGAUUGAGUGCCUAAACACCCUGUGAGGCAGCUG
ensembl:lncRNA